rnacentral:rRNA from 1 species
UCGCUCUACACCCUUUGUGACAUACCUACAACUGUUGCUUCGGCGGGUAGGGUCUCCGCGACCCUCCCGGCCUCCCGCCUCCGGGCGGGUCGGCGCCCGCCGGAGGAUAACCAAACUCUGAUUUAACGACGUUUCUUCUGAGUGGUACAAGCAAAUAAUCAAAACUUUUAACAACGGAUCUCUUGGUUCUGGCAUCGAUGAAGAACGCAGCGAAAUGCGAUAAGUAAUGUGAAUUGCAGAAUUCAGUGAAUCAUCGAAUCUUUGAACGCACAUUGCGCCCGCCAGCAUUCUGGCGGGCAUGCCUGUUCGAGCGUCAUUUCAACCCUCAAGCUCUGCUUGGUGUUGGGGCCCUACAGCCGAUGUAGGCCCUCAAAGGUAGUGGCGGACCCUCCCGGAGCCUCCUUUGCGUAGUAACUUUACGUCUCGCACUGGGAUCCGGAGGGACUCUUGCCGUAAAACCCCCCAAUUUUCCAAAGGUUGACCUCGGAUCAGGUAGGAAUACCCGCUGAACUUAAGCAUAUCAAAAAGG